GGUUAAGUGACUAAGCGUACACGGUGGAUGCCUUGGCAGUCAGAGGCGAUGAAAGACGUAGUAACUUGCGAUAAGCCCAGAUUAGGUAGUAACAACCAUUUGAGUCUGGGAUUUCUGAAUGGGGAAACCCACGUGCAUAAGCACGUAUCCUUACCUGAAUACAUAGGGUAAGGAGGCGAACCGGGGGAACUGAAACAUCUAAGUACCCCGAGGAAAAGAAAUCAACCGAGAUUCCGAAAGUAGCGGCGAGCGAAAUUGGACUAGCCCUUAAGCUUUACACGCGUUAGACGAACGGUCUGGAAAGUCCGACGAUACAGGGUGAUAGUCCCGUAGUUGACGACGUGUGUUCAGUGAAAUCGAGUAGGGCGGGACACGUGAUAUCCUGUCUGAAUAUGGGGGGACCAUCCUCCAAGGCUAAAUACUACUGACUGACCGAUAGUGAACCAGUACCGUGAGGGAAAGGCGAAAAGAACCCCUGUGAGGGGAGUGAAAUAGAACCUGAAACCGUGUACGUACAAGCAGUAGGAGCAGGCUUUGUCCUGUGACUGCGUACCUUUUGUAUAAUGGGUCAGCGACUUAUAUUCAGUGGCAAGGUUAACCAUCUAGGGGAGCCGUAGGGAAACCGAGUCUUAACUGGGCGUUCAGUCUCUGGAUAUAGACCCGAAACCAGGUGAUCUAGCCAUGGGCAGGUUGAAGGUUGAGUAACAUCAACUGGAGGACCGAACCGACUAAUGUUGAAAAAUUAGCGGAUGACUUGUGGCUAGGGGUGAAAGGCCAAUCAAACCUGGAGAUAGCUGGUUCUCCCCGAAAGCUAUUUAGGUAGCGCCUCGGACGAAUACUACUGGGGGUAGAGCACUGUUAAGGCUAGGGGGUCAUCCCGACUUACCAACCCUUUGCAAACUCCGAAUACCAGUAAGUACUAUCCGGGAGACACACGGCGGGUGCUAACGUCCGUCGUGGAGAGGGAAACAACCCAGACCGCCAGCUAAGGUCCCAAAUUACUACUAAGUGGGAAACGAUGUGGGAAGGCUCAGACAGCCAGGAUGUUGGCUUAGAAGCAGCCAUCAUUUAAAGAAAGCGUAAUAGCUCACUGGUCGAGUCGGCCUGCGCGGAAGAUGUAACGGGGCUAAGUAG
rnacentral:rRNA from 1 species